UACGUAGGGUCCGAGCGUUGUCCGGAAUUAUUGGGCGUAAAGAGCUCGUAGGCGGUGUGUCGCGUCGGCCGUGAAAACCUGCAGCUUAACUGUGGGCGUGCGGUCGAUACGGGCAUCACUGGAGUUCGGCAGGGGAGACUGGAAUUCCUGGUGUAGCGGUGAAAUGCGCAGAUAUCAGGAGGAACACCGGUGGCGAAGGCGGGUCUCUGGGCCGAUACUGACGCUGAGGAGCGAAAGCGUGGGGAGCAAACAGG
rnacentral:rRNA from 1 species